rnacentral:rRNA from 1 species
AGAGUUUGAUCCUGGCUCAGAGCGAACGCUGGCGGCGUGCUUAACACAUGCAAGUCGAGUGCGCAGUUUUUCUGUAGCAAUACAGGGAAAUGGGCGCACGGCGCACGGGUGAGUAACACGUGGGUAACCUGCCCUCCAAAAGGGGAUAACCCGCCGAAAGGCGGGCUAAUACCGUAUGACAUUACGAUUGUUUCGGCGAUUGUAAUCAAAGGCCGCAAGGCCGUUGGGGGAGGGGCCCGCGCCCGAUUAGCUAGUUGGUGAGGUAACGGCUCACCAAGGCUUUGAUCGGUAGCCGGUCUGAGAGGAUGGCCGGCCACACUGGAACUGAGACACGGUCCAGACUCCUACGGGAGGCAGCGGUGGGGAAUAUUGCGCAAUGGGCGAAAGCCUGACGCAGCGACACCGCGUGGGGGAUGAAGCAUCUCGGUGUGUAAACCCCUUUCGACCCGGAAGAAUGUCCCGCAAGGGAUUGACGGUACGGGUAUAAGAAGCCCCGGCUAACUACGUGCCAGCAGCCGCGGUAAUACGUAGGGGGCCAGCGUUGCUCGGAAUUACUGGGCGUAAAGGGUUCGUAGGCGGUGCGGCAAGUCGGAAGUGAAAUCUCCAGGCUCAACUUGGAGGCUGCUCCCGAAACUGCCGCGCUAGAGUGCGGGAGAGGCCAGUGGAAUUGCAGGUGUAGCGGUGAAAUGCGUAGAUAUCUGCAGGAACACCCGUGGCGAAGGCGGCUGGCUGGACCGCAACUGACGCUGAGGAACGAAAGCUAGGGGAGCAAACAGGAUUAGAUACCCUGGUAGUCCUAGCCCUAAACGAUCAGGACUUGGGGUGCAUCCCGACGGGGUGCGUCCCGUAGCUAACGCGUUAAGUCCUGCGCCUGGGGAGUACGGUCGCAAGACUGAAACUCAAAGGAAUUGACGG